AACGAACGCUGGCGGCAGGCCUAACACAUGCAAGUCGAACGCCGUAGCAAUACGGAGUGGCAGACGGGUGAGUAACGCGUGGGAACAUACCCCUCGGUUCGGAAUAACUUAGGGAAACUUGAGCUAAUACCGGAUACGUCCGAGGUUUUAACCGGCCUCGGAGAAAGAUUUAUCGCCGGAGGAUUGGCCCGCGUCUGAUUAGCUUGUUGGUGAGGUAAUGGCUCACCAAGGCGACGAUCAGAGCUGGUCUGAGAGGAUGAUCAGCCACAUUGGGACUGAGACACGGCCCAAACUCCUACGGGAGGCAGCAGUGGGGAAUAUUGGACAAUGGGCGAAAGCCUGAUCCAGCCAUGCCGCGUGAGUGAUGAA
rnacentral:rRNA from 1 species